rnacentral:tRNA from 1 species
AGGGAAACAGCUCAGUGGUAGAGCACAUGCUUAGCAUGCAUGAGGCCCUAGGCUCAAUCCCCAGUAUCUCCA